rnacentral:lncRNA from 13 species
AAGGGAGUGAUGUCCUGUUAGCUACUGAUUAGAAGCAAGUCAUGGGCCAGGUGCAGUGGCUCACGCCUGUAAUCUCAGCAUUUUAGGAGGUCAAAGUGGGUGGAUCACUUGAGUCCAGGAGUUCGAGACUAGUCUGGGCAACAUAGUAGACCCCUGAGUCUACAAAAAAAAUACAAAUAAUAAUUGGCAUGGUGGCACACCCUGUGGUCCCAGCUACUUGGGAGGCUGAAAUGGGAGAAUUUCUUGAGCCUAGGAGUUCCAGACUACAAUGAGCUAUGCUUGCAUCACUACACUCCAGCCUGGGAGACAGAGUGAGACCCUGUCUCAAAACUAGGGAGUGGGUGGGAAAUGGCGUGGAUGGAGUCCUGGCUCACACUCAAAGGAGGCAGGGCAGGUGUAUUACUCAGGUGUUACACCAGGUGGCAAAGAGAAAACUUCCCAGAUGCUCUGGAAGAACAGUGGCCAAGCAAAAUUCUCCCGGAGGGCAGAGUCUGCGACAGCAUUUCUGGCUGGCCAGUACAAGGCCCUGCCCUCUUCUCUGGGCUGCACCGACAUCAAAGAUGAAAGGGAGGAGGCCAUGAAGAACAAGAGCCCCCUUUACACACCAACCUAGUCAUGGUCAUGGUGGUGAUGACUGAAAAUGAAAAGGAACCAGGCUGAAAAAUUCGUCUCUGAGGACCCAGAGUAAUAAAAUCCCAGGAUAAGGAAGGCCUUUAGCA